AUUGAACGCUGGCGGCAUGCCUUACACAUGCAAGUCGAACGGUAACAGGUCUUCGGAUGCUGACGAGUGGCGAACGGGUGAGUAAUACAUCGGAACGUGCCCGAUCGUGGGGGAUAACGGAGCGAAAGCUUUGCUAAUACCGCAUACGAUCUACGGAUGAAAGCAGGGGAUCGCAAGACCUCGCGCGGACGGAGCGGCCGAUGGCAGAUUAGGUAGUUGGUGGGAUAAAAGCUUACCAAGCCGACGAUCUGUAGCUGGUCUGAGAGGACGACCAGCCACACUGGGACUGAGACACGGCCCAGACUCCUACGGGAGGCAGCAGUGGGGAAUUUUGGACAAUGGGCGCAAGCCUGAUCCAGCCAUGCCGCGUGCAGGAUGAAGGCCUUCGGUUGUAAACUGCUUUGUACGGAACGAAAAGACUCUCUCUAAUACAGGGGUGGAAUGACGGUACCGUAAGAAUAAGACACCGGCUAACUACGUGCCAGCAGCCGC
rnacentral:rRNA from 1 species